UACUAAAUCAUGAAGUCCAUUUGCUUUGUAGUGACGAACAUUAGAAAAGAUUUAAAAAGAAAGGAAUAGAAUAGAAUGGAAUGGAGCAACAUGGAGACCACAGGAAUGCUUCACGCAUUAUAAGAACUCUUAUGAUGGCUAAACUCAUAUGAAUCCUCAAGACAGAGAAAAUAACACUGGAUUGCAUUAAAAUGCAGGUUUCCUGUUAAGAGUCUACAAAUGCGGGCACUAGUGGAAGACUGAAGGGCAAACACGGGGAGAGGGUUCCUGGAGGGCUUUCGAUCCUUGUACAGACUGAACUCCUGACCAGGGGAUGUGAAAAUGACCAUGUAGCCUGAACCGCCCCCCAUGAACUGGAUGUUAUAUAGUCCACCAAGCCAGGAGU